AGAUAACUAGAAGGAUUCAUUGCAUCUCCUUGUACAAGGCAUGCCCUAUUAAUUCAUACCAAAGGCCCAUCCAUUCAAAUGGCCCGACUGCCCUCUAGUUUGGAAUAACAAAAUGAAUAGAAUAUUAUGAUUAAGGCCAUUUAAAAAAUAAAAGUGAGACAAGCUUUGGUUGUUUCUCUUCGGUGACUACAUAGUCCCUACCGUGGUCCUCCUAGUGACCAAGGAUGACAGAUGGGUCAGAAGGAGACGAUACGGCGAGGGAAUGGCCAGAUCAUCCUGCACAACCUGUGGAGGAACAAGGCCUCCCUUAGCACCUUGGUCUCUUGAUGCUCCAUAUGGCGACGACCAAGUCUGCCUUCCCUGCUGAGCUUCGAGAAGCAAAGGAGCCGCAGGGAAGCAAUAUUGAAGCAUUUAAUGAUGUUGCGCUCUAAAUAGAAGCUCUCUGUGGCAAGCACAAGGAUGAGUCUUCUUCCUUUCCGAUCCAUGGAAAUCCCUUUGGUCCCGCUCAAUGAUUUACGCGGAAGCGCUUUCAGCCCCCUCGUGUUCCGACUCCGACUCCUUCCAGUCUCUUCCAGAAGCCGGUGCACUGGCUCACCAUUUCACCACAGAAGUAAACGAGUAGGAACGACGGCUCCCUGGAGCUGACGGAGGAGCUUUCAGACAGAGGGAAGCCUUCUAAAGCGCUUGAGAAGUAAGGAGAGAGGAGAGAAGGCAAAACUGCCUCCCCAAGGCGGGCUUCGUACUUGGAGGUAACAUCACCGCAGAGUGAAGAGCAGCCCGGAUCGCCCAAGCUAGCGUAGAAUUCUGAUAUCUGUGCCGUCCUAAUAGAAUCAGCAAAAGAUGAUUCUUUCCUAUUCGGGCCUCCCACUAAGGGUAGUAGGCGUUUGUGUUCUAAGGCAGAAGAAUGUUUAUCAGAUGGAACUGGACAAUUUGUUAGAUAUAAGGCAAUCUAAGAAUCUGACUACUGAUAAUCAAAUGGAGGAACUCCACCUGAAAAAAAACAACACAACAAAAAACAACCUCUCCUGACAAGAGUGGAAACAAAACUUUUGAAAAAAAGCUAAGGAAAAAGGGUUAGAAAAGGAAUGGGGCAUCAAAUAAAAAUUCUUGUUUUAUUCCUAGUCGAAAAGUG
rnacentral:lncRNA from 1 species